CAGAUAUAUUUCAACAGAUUUUUUUUGUGUACCCCCCCUUAGAGCUACGAUGCCACUUCCUCGCCACGAACAGUCACAUAUUUAUGGCUUCAGCUUAAAUUACUCGCAUUAUCUACGCACUUUGGCAUCAAAUCUACUUGCGAAUUUCUGGGAUUGGGUCUAUUGACCCCAGACGACAAAUUGCAAGGAAACCGUGAAAUAAGUUGGAAACAUAUGGAGGAGCCAAGCAACUUUGUGUCUUAUUAAUAUAUGAAUGGCCACAGUGGGCACUCGUUCGAAUGAAUUUGCUGCCGUGAUGCCAAUGAGUGGUUAUAUUUGACAAGAGUUCCCUGUGGAAAAAUAAACCCCCAAGACUUCGACCCGGAGAGAUUUAUUAGUUGGGCGUUAAUCCCUGGCGGCCUAAUACAUCAUUUCAAUUUGU